CACUACCGUGAAUACGUUCCCGGGUCUUGUACACACCGCCCGUCAAGCCACGAAAGUCGCCAAUACCCGACGUCCGAGCCUCGUCUCGGCCUAAGGUAGGGGAGAUAAUUGGGGUU
rnacentral:rRNA from 1 species